UUAACUCGAAUUUGUAUGCAGUUGGAACAGCGCUCCUAGCGGAAAACGUAGACAGACGUUCCAAAUCCAUACAAAUUUGAGUUA
rnacentral:pre_miRNA from 1 species